CAAACGAACGCUGGCCGCAGGCUUAACACAUGCAAGUCGAACGCGUGUAGCAAUACACGAGUGGCGCACGGGUGAGUAACACGUGGAUAUCUGCCUUUUGGUUCGGAAUAACCCCGGGAAACUGGGGCUAAUACCGGAUGGUUCCUACGGGAUAAAGAUUUAUCGCCAAAAGAUGAGUCCGCGUCCGAUUAGCUAGUUGGCGGGGUAAUGGCCCACCAAGGCGACGAUCGGUAGCUGGUCUGAGAGGACGAUCAGCCACACUGGGACUGAGACACGGCCCAGACUCCUACGGGAGGCAGCAGUGGGGAAUAUUGGACAAUGGGGGCAACCCUGAUCCAGCCAUGCCGCGUGAGUGAUGAAGGCCUUCGGGUUGUAAGCUCUUUUGGCGGGGACGAUGAUGACGGUACCCGCAAAAAAGCCCCGGGCUAACUUCGUGCCACCACCCGCCGGUAAGACAAAGGGGGGCUAGCGUUGUUCGAAAUUCUGGGCGUAAAGGGGCGUGCAGGCGGGUGGCAAAGCCGGGGGGUGAAGCCUUGAACCCAACUCAGAAAUGCCCUCGAAACUUGGUGGAUAAAGGACCGGAGAAGAAAAGGGAAUUCCCAGUGAUUGGUGAAAUCCAUAAAAUGGGGAAAACCCCCUUGGGAAGGGGCUUUUCGGAGGUUUCUGAGCCUGAAACCGAAGCGGGGGGGAAAACCAA
rnacentral:rRNA from 1 species